rnacentral:rRNA from 1 species
UACAGAGGUCUCGAGCGUUGUUCGGAUUCAUUGGGCGUAAAGGGCGCGUAGGCGGCGGGGUAAGUCUGGUGUGAAAUCUCGGAGCUCAACUCCGAAAUUGCACUGGAUACUGCUCUGCUAGAGGGCUGGAGAGGAGAUCGGAAUUCACGGUGUAGCAGUGAAAUGCGUAGAUAUCGUGAGGAAGACCAGUGGCGAAGGCGGAUCUCUGGACAGCUCCGUGACGCUGGAGGCGCGAAGGCUAGGGGAGCAAACGGG